rnacentral:rRNA from 1 species
GUCCAACAUGGGUAAUCCACCAUCGAGUCGGGGUAAUAACCCGCCGACACAAGGCUGGCUAAUACCGCGUACGCUUCCGGGUUUUCGGGUCCGGAAGGAAAGCCAUGCCGUGGGUAUGGCGCUUCUUUGAUGAGCUCAUGUCCUAUCAGCUUGUUGGUAGGGUAANGGCUACCAGGGGUUUGAAA